rnacentral:tRNA from 1 species
GUGUGUAUGGUGUAAAUAACACAUUAGCUUUUCAUGCUAAAAAUAUGUCCCUAUAUUACACAC